ensembl:lncRNA
GUCAACAAGAAGGAAAGAAUGACUGUUGGGAAAAAGCCAAAAGUAUCUGCACAGUCUUUUCCUCUUGGUACCAAACAUCCACACACCCCUCUGUCCCACAGCGUGAUAAGGGAUAUCAACCAGAAGACUGCAGUGAAAGUCGUGAAUCAUAGUGAAAGGUGCUGUUUUUCAAGCUGCUCUGACAAUGUUCUUCCCAAGAAUCAAGAGAAGCUGGACACCAAUUUUAGUCUUUGUAUACUAAAAUCACUUUAUCACAGCCCAGCCAGAAGGACCCAGAGGCUAGAGGAUUUGUCUUCCUCCCCUACAGUUUGGUGACUUGGAUGGGAUAAAACUUAACUGGCUGGAUACUGCCCAUUCCUGGACUACUGCAGCUGAAAGGUCCUGGACCCCUUGCAAAGAGCCCACAGGAAUUAAGUGUUCUUACCAUGUCAGUCUCCUGGAUCUCUGCCUGCAGUGUCCAAAGGAAGCGAGAAUGUCAUUGAGAACAGAACCUGUCCUUUUUCCUGAGGCCUUGCAAACUGAAGCUGGACAACUUGACAUUAACUUUAGAGAGACUCAUGUCUGUUGCUGUGUAAGCCACUCAGAAAGAUAUCUGAACACAUAAUGACAUCAUCAGGGACAUGUCAAGCUGCAAAAGAUGCUUCAACUGUGACAUCUAAAAAUCUUCUUAACUGGCUGUCUUCUGGGCUCAGAAACUGGUUUAUAAUUUGAUCCAGCCAUUAACCUUGGUUUUCUUUUUCUGUUUCCAGAAAAAUACUUCUUAUUAAAUACCUGAUGCUUGCUUCCACAAUAUAGGUCUAGCUUUUGGAGCCCACCUGCAUUACUACCUUCUAAAAUGAAUUUAAAUGGACUUAUCUAUUAUCAAGACUAAGAAAUAUGUUCAGUGAGAUGGAACAAUCUGCCAACUCAGCUUUUGGACUAUGAAGCUUCUUAAAGUCUAAUGGACUGUGCAACUUCUUAAAGUUUCAAAGAUGGGACUGUGGGGGAUCAAAAUUGGCCACCCCAAAAUGUGUCUCUUUGUCUUUAAAGAACAAAAGACUCUGAAAGAAACUUGACCUCUGCCCUCAACUACCCAAAAUGAUUUAAGAUAAUAAGCCUGUCCCCAGGACAGGACAUCACCAUAGAUAACUCUCAGUAUCAGUAGACUGUGAGGGUCCUUGCUAAGCCCAUUCUUAUCUACCAAACAUUUACUUUUCUGCUUCCAUGUGAAUUGCCUCCCUCCCCUUUGAAGUCCCAAACCACUGACCCCAACACCCUCCUUUGUCUUUACCUGAAGAUGCUAUUUAAGAUGACAACGUCUGCCAUUUUGUUGAGUUACUCAGUUUUCCUGGGUCUCUCCCAUGUAUACAUGUUAUAAAGCUUUGUUUGAUUUUUCUCCUGUUAUUCUGUUUCAUGCCAAUUUACUUUGUAGCCCAGCCAGAAGGACCCAGAGGGUAGAGGAUUUGUCUUCCUCCCCUACAAUAGUUACCUUUGAUGUUUUCCUUUCCUUUAUCUUUUAAGUCAUAAUUAAGUAUUUGCUACCCUGCUCUGAAAGAAAGCUGGUUUUCUGACUUUGUCUCUCAUUUAUCUCCUUGCUCAAAGUUUUGUAACCUUUGCCUUUUUGUUUCAGGUGUGAGGGUGUCCUUGAUCAUUUCUUGUAGGGGAGGUCUAGUGGCAGUGAAAUCCCUCUACUUUUGUUUAUCUUGGAAAGCUUUUACUUCUCCAUUAUAUCUGAAGGACAGUUUCACUGUGUAUAAUAUUCUUGGCUGAAAGCUUUUGUCUUUCCAAUUUUUAAUAUAUUAUUCCAUUCUUUCCUAGCCUGUAAGAUUUCUGCUGAGAAAUCUGCUGAAAGCCUGAUAGGGGUUCCUCUGUAGAUUAUUUUCUUCUGCCUUGCUGCCCUUAAUAUUUUUUCUUUAUUGUUGACUCUUGCCAGUUUUACUAUUAUAUGCCUUGGAGAAGGUCUUUUUGCAUUGAUGUAAUUAGGAUUUUUAUUGGCUUCAUGUACUUGGAGUUCUGGUUCCUUCCCCAGGUUUGGGAAGUUCUCAGCUAUUAUUUCUUUGAACAAGCUCUCUCAUUUCUCCCUGUCUUCUCUCUCUGGAAAACCUAUAAUCCUUAUAUUGCUUUUUCUAAUUGAGUCAGAUAUUUCUCAAAGAAUUGCUUCAUUUUUAAAAAAUCUUAGUUCUCUCUCCUCCUCCACCUUUUUUGAAGCAUUUCUAUAUUUCUAUCCUCUAAAUCACUAAUUUUGUCCUCCAUAAUACCAACUCUACUUUUUAAGGGUUCCAGAUUAUUUUUUAUCUCAUUAAUUGUGUUCUUCUUAUCUAGAAUUUGUGUUUGGCACUUUUUUUUGUAGUUUUAAUCUCCUUUGUGAAAUAUUCCUUCUGUUCAUUAAUUGUAUUCCUGAGCUUAUUGAACUGUUUUUCUGAUUUUUUUUGUAACUCAUUGAGUUUUUUUAUGACAACUAUUUUGAAUUCUCUGUCGUUUAGAUUGUAAGUUUCUGUGACUUCAGAUUGGUUUCUGGAGACUUGUCAUUUUCCUUCUGCUCUGAAGUGUUACUGUAGUUUUUCAUGGUGUCUGAUGAACUGACCCUUUGCCAGCGCAUUUGUGGUAAUAUCAGGUCACAGAUCCCACCUGCCACCACUGAGGGGAAGCAGGAGCUGUGUUUCUGAUCUGACUCCACCUGCUGGAAAUGGUGCAGGGGGUCUCAGCCAGGAAUCUAGAAGAGUAGAGGAACAAUUAUUUUUCCUCCCUCAAACUAGCAAAUGCAAAGGUACUUAGGAGGUAAUUUCAGCAGCCUGUUUGAGGAAUAACAAGGCCUAUGGCUGAAACAAAGGGAACAAAGGGAAUAACAUGGAAAAACGUGAACACAGGAAUGCAAACUCAAAGGAGGACUGAAGGAAGAUUAGCCCUGAGCUAACACCUGCUGCCAAUCCUCCUCUUUUUUCUGUGGAAGACUGGCCCUGAGCUAACAUCCAUGCCCAUCUUCCUCUACUUUAUAUGUGGGAUGCCUGCCACAGCAUGGCUUGCCAAGUGGUGCCAUGUCUGCACCCGGGAUCUGAACAGGUGA